GACGAACGCUGGCGGCGUGCUUAACACAUGCAAGUCGAGCGGAGCGGCGAACGGGUGAGUAACGCGUGAGUAACUGCCCCCCUCUCUGGGAUAACAGUUGGAAACGGCUGCUAAUACCGGAUAGUGGGGGAUGACUCGGGUCCUAUCAGCUUGUUGUUGGGGUAGUGGCCUACGAAGGGCAUGACGGGUAGCCGGCCUGAGAGGGGGAGCGGCCACAUUGGGCUGAGAUACGGCCCGAACCACUACGGGAGGCAGCAGUGGGGAAUAUUGCACAAUGGGGGAAACUCUGAUGCAGCAACGCGCGUGCGGGAUGACGGACUUCGGGUUGUAAACCGCUUUCAGCUAUGACGCGGUAGUGGCAGAAGAAGCACCGGCUAACUACGUGCCAGCAGCCGCGGUAAUAC
rnacentral:rRNA from 1 species